rnacentral:rRNA from 1 species
CAGCAGUAGGGAAUCUUCCACAAUGGGCGCAAGCCUGAUGGAGCAACACCGCGUGAGUGAAGAAGGGUUUCGGCUCGUAAAGCUCUGUUGUUAAAGAAGAACACGUAUGAGAGUAACUGUUCAUACGUUGACGGUAUUUAACCAGAAAGUCACGGCUAACUACGUGCCAGCAGCCGCGGUAAUACGUAGGUGGCAAGCGUUAUCCGGAUUUAUUGGGCGUAAAGAGAGUGCAGGCGGUUUUCUAAGUCUGAUGUGAAAGCCUUCGGCUUAACCGGAGAAGUGCAUCGGAAACUGGAUAACUUGAGUGCAGAAGAGGGUAGUGGAACUCCAUGUGUAGCGGUGGAAUGCGUAGAUAUAUGGAAGAACACCAGUGGCGAAGGCGGCUACCUGGUCUGCAACUGACGCUGAGACUCGAAAGCAUGGGUAGCGAACAGGAUUAGAUACCCUGGUAG